CACCGAGCUAAGAAGGACUUAAUAAUGUUAACCAUUUCAUGGUUAGAUUGUUAUAUGAUGCUGGCUUAUACACUUCUGCUGCCUUUCACUGGUUGUUUCUGUGAAAGUAUCCAGGCCCUGAAAAAUCUCACCAAGCAAGUUGCAGCAGUGCUCCAGAAUACACCAUUGCAACUGUACCAGAAAUUACACUGGAAUAACAACAUUAGAUGGUAAAAAUAGAAGCACUAAGAAAAUGGAAUGUUUUCCUUACUGAAUGAUGUUUGCAGCUUCUCUUUAAGAUGUAUUGAAAGACCUGCCAUCUUGGUUCUGAUCUCCUUCAGAUUAAUCUCUUUUUGAAAAAAGAGCUACUUGCUUCGAAUGCUACCUGAACCAGGAAUCCAGAAGCACUUCACCUUAUGAAGCUCCUUGAGAAAAAAAUGGAAAAAACACACUCAAUAAUGGACAGUCUGCAUCCUGGCUACAUCCUCUAGAUGUGUCUUCUGACCUAUCAUCAACUCUCACUUGUGUGGAUUGAGCAUCAGUCAACUUGUCAUCCAUAGCUAUAUCUCUGAAAAGCACAGAGACAGCAUCAAUCAGGGAACAGAUUUGCCAAAAAAAGAAAGUGCAUAGAGCAAUUAACGUCAAGAGGUUUUCAGUGCAGUGAACAGGAAUUUGCAUCAGUGAGUCACAUUAUUAUAGUCCUAGUAGGUUAAUUGGACUGCAAUUUUGGUUCUCUUUAUGUGUUGCUAUCAAUGGAAGGUAGUAUGUAGGAGGUACUGCUCAACAAAUAAGCACAUAAAUGUUGCAGGAAAAAUAAAAAGAAAGACCAGAGACAGGCUUUUGGGUAGACAGGCAAACAAACAAACUGAUUCUUCCAAACUCAUCCAUGGAAAUGGUGUAUUAAAGUUUAUCAUCAAGCAAUUUGGUUUUUAUAGCCAAAGGGCAAUACACAGCACAACCUUUUCAUUCUUUCUAGCAUGGUGAAGCAGCCAAGAGUAUUUCCUUUGUGAAUAUGCUGCAGCCCGUGUAUUUCAAGAGCCAGAGUAAGAACAGGGAUAUAAAGCCUAAACCACCACUCUCUUUAUUCUGACAAGAUGGCUCCUGCAGACUCCGCACAUGCAGAACUGAAAUGUGUCUGCAUCCUGUGAGAGUGCCCCUAGUGAUUACACAUGACUAAUUUUAAAGAGACAGUACCACCGUCUACUACCCACAUGGUCCUUUUUUAAUGCAUUUUACUGAUAGCUCAGAAUACUUGAAUUGCAAAUUUCUGCUCCAGAUAUAGAUCCUGAACACCCCCAAAGAUUGGCAGCAUUUACAUUCAGGAUCUUGGUUUGAUUAUAAACAUA